AUUGAACGCUGGCGGCAGGCUUAACACAUGCAAGUCGAGCGGAGAUGAGGUGCUUGCACCUUAUCUUAGCGGCGGACGGGUGAGUAAUGCUUAGGAAUCUGCCUAUUAGUGGGGGACAACAUUCCGAAAGGAAUGCUAAUACCGCAUACGUCCUACGGGAGAAAGCAGGGGAUCUUCGGACCUUGCGCUAAUAGAUGAGCCUAAGUCGGAUUAGCUAGUUGGUGGGGUAAAGGCCUACCAAGGCGACGAUCUGUAGCGGGUCUGAGAGGAUGUUCCGCCACACUGGGACGGGGAACCGGAGCAGACUCCUGCGGGAGGCAGCAGUGGGGAAUAUUGGACAAUGGGGGGGAACCCUGAUCCAGCCAUGCCGCGUGUGUGAAGAAGGCCUUAUGGUUGUAAAGCACUUUAAGCGAGGAGGAGGCUACUGAGACUAAUACUCUUGGAUAGUGGACGUUACUCGCAGAAUAAGCACCGGCUAACUCUGUGCCAGCCGCCGCCGUAAGAC
rnacentral:rRNA from 1 species